AGUCGCUACUGGAAGCAAAGAAGUCAACGCGUGCUCGAAGAUUGUUCGAGAUUAAUGAAUACACUCGAGGACGACUGAUUUAUCAGAAUGGCCGUGACGGCAGCCACCUUAUUUAACAGUUUUGAGAGACAGCGGCUAGAUGGCGCUAGUGGAACGUGCACCGGACGCAUCAUUAUCGACAGUCCAAUAUUGUAACGGUUCUCCCCGCCAAGCGAUCGCCUUUAUAAGGUGCCGCGCUUUUGAGUCGACACGCAUUUCAAACGGAUGCGUCUUGGUGCACGGACCACUGUCUCUCGACAGUCAGUACUGCACAGUUAUUGGACGUUGGAACGUUGUAUAAUUAGUACUGUCCUUAUUGCGGUGGGUGCGUGGAACCCUGUCUCUGACAGUCAGUACAGCCCUAUGUGACCGCCCUCACUGUCAUAUUUUGUAAUUGUUUAAUUUAUUAUAUUUCAUUUCUGUAUUUCUAGAUUUAAGAUAACCGAUUGUUCGACUGCAAUAAAUUUGUAUAAUACCUUA